rnacentral:rRNA from 1 species
CCUACGGGCUGCAGCAGAAGGGAAUCUUCGGCAAUGGACGAAAGUCUGACCGAGCAACGCCGCGUGAGUGAAGAAGGUUUUCGGAUCGUAAAACUCUGUUGGUAGAGAAGAACGUUGGUGAGAGUGGAAAGCUCAUCAAGUGACGGUAACUACCCAGGAAGGGACGGCUAACUACGUGCCAGCAGCCGCGGUAAUACGUAGGUCCCGAGCGUUGUCCGGAUUUAUUGGGCGUAAAGCGAGCGCAGGUGGUUUAUUAAGUCUGGUGUAAAAGGCAGUGGCUCAACCAUUGUAUGCAUUGGAAACUGGUAGACUUGAGUGCAGGAGAGGAGAGUGGAAUUCCAUGUGUAGCGGUGAAAUGCGUAGAUAUAUGGAGGAACACCGGUGGCGAAAGCGGCUCUGUGGCCUGCAACUGACGCUGAGGCCCGAAAGAGUGGGGAGCAAACAGGAUUAGAUACCCUAGUAGUC